rnacentral:rRNA from 1 species
AUUGAGCGCUGGCGGCAUGCUUUACACAUGCAAGUCGAACGGCAGCGGGGGAGAAGCUUGCUUUUCCUGCCGGCGAGUGGCGAACGGGUGAGUAAUACAUCGGAACGUGCCCUGUAGUGGGGGAUAACUAGUCGAAAGAUUAGCUAAUACCGCAUACGACCUGAGGGUGAAAGUGGGGGACCGCAAGGCCUCAUGCUAUAGGAGCGGCCGAUGUCUGAUUAGCUAGUUGGUGGGGUAAAGGCCUACCAAGGCGACGAUCAGUAGCUGGUCUGAGAGGACGAUCAGCCACACUGGGACUGAGACACGGCCCAGACUCCUACGGGAGGCAGCAGUGGGGAAUUUUGGACAAUGGGCGAAAGCCUGAUCCAGCAAUGCCGCGUGUGUGAAGAAGGCCUUCGGGUUGUAAAGCACUUUUGUCCGGAAAGAAAUGGCUCUGGUUAAUACCUGGGGUCGAUGACGGUACCGGAAGAAUAAGGACCGGCUAACUACGUGCCAGCCGCCGCAGUAAUAC